GUGAGUACUUGGGGACAUGAAGACAU
rnacentral:piRNA from 1 species